CUGUGCGAAGGUGGUGGAGGAGCUGGCGGGCACGGGUCUGGUCAAGGCACACUGGCUGCUCCCCAACUAAUGCUGGGUUCUGGAGACUGGAAAGUCUAAGAUGAAUGUGCUGACAGAAUUGGUGUCUGAGAGGAGGUCCCGCAUAGUUCUACAUCAUCUGGAGGAGGCUCAGUCUGGGACCAAAUCAUCACUGACCUUGUUCUGACUAUUGAGUCAUGGGUGAUGCAUGAGCAAGACCCAGCAGGAUUGAGAACUUCUAAUGGGCUUUGCUGUCAAAAGGUGCUAUUUUUAGCUACUAGACAUUAUUUUUAAUAUAAAUAAAUAUGAUAGUGCCUAGCAAUAGA